rnacentral:lncRNA from 1 species
GCAUUGGUCCUGCUCCAUUGCCCAAGCGUCCUCGACGACAGUCGUGCUCGGACACGGAGCUUGAGCCUGCUGCCGCCCAUCCCGUGUCGAUCGACCUGAACGCUGACUGCGAGAUAAACGAGGCCGCAAAUGCAUCAGGUCAAGUAAAGCUGGAUGCACAAUCCUAGUGCUUCGUUGAAGUUUAUUCCAAGGCCAUUCAGGCGGGUCUGAAAGCUACAA